UGCUGAACGGUUUAACAGCACCUCCACAUCACCUGCAUCAGAGUGUGUUUUCUGCUGGAAUCUGCUGUUCAGUGUGUGUUCGGUGUGUGUUCUCCUCUUCUCCAUCUGCGUCUACUGCCUCUGUCAGAAGAAAACUACAGUUUCUGUAGGUUCUGGGGCUGAGAACAGACAUGUUGAGGCUGGUGAAGAAGUGUGUUAUGCUUCAUUAGACAUGCCUUCCACACAGCAACAAAGGCAGAGGAAUGAAAAAGGCUCAGAGUUCAGACUUCAGUAUUUAUUCUGAUGUCAGAACCAGCAGAAUGUAAAGUAGAGUAAACUAAAGUCAUUGUUCUUUAGUAGAAAUAUGAUUCAAAAGAGUGUUAAUGACAAUGUUCUGGCAUCUGCAUCCUAUUUUCAUUGAUUCUAAUAUUGUAAGUUUUUAAUGAUUAAAAAUGUAAAUACAUUUAA